GGUUAAGGUAUUGGCCUGUCCACAAAGGGGUUGUGGGUUAGUGUCCCACUAGGGUCAUGACCACACCUCAUGUGACACCAGUACAGGAUUUUCAAGGAAGCAGACUUGAGUGUGGUUUAGAUAAGCUUGAAGCUUUCAUUACAAUCAAGCUAAAAUGAAUUAGUGUAAACUAGACCAGUAAACGUUCACUUAGUCUAAGGAAUAAUUGACCAAUCACAACUUGUUUAGGUUCCCAUUAGACACACAUGAUCGUAUGGCUUAUUGUAACCAUUUUCUUAUUGGUACAAAAAUUUACAAAAUACAUAUACCAGUAAUAGAUACGUAGCUAAACAAAAUUUCUCUGUUAAAGAAAUUAAGGUGUAUGCAUUUGUCAUUUAAGAAGUAUUGUUCAAUGAACAUUAUAAUAUAGGCAAAAUUUAAUGAAUAGACACUAAUAGGCCAACAACAUUUGUGUCGCGCCAUGAGAUUUUUGGCCCAAAUGCGGCGCUACGUCAUUCGAGAAAAACCCGAUUAAAGUUACGUCACAAAAAUGAGUGGAGUUCAACACGUUUUCGCGUCAAUUAAUGCAUUUUAUCAAUUAACACUAUACUAUUGGGACGAUAAAUGAAUGAAGAGACAAACGUCAUUUACCAAGCAGGUAUUGUAACAGUUCCGUGUUUUGACAUUUCGUUUCAUUAUCAAAUAAUUGACAAUUUAUCGCCCUUUGUAUCAACACGCCAUUUGUAAACAUGAAAGGUCGUGUGAAAGGAAAUUUUUAAACAGUAAUUUGACGAUUGAUUUAAAAGGGAUAAUGAAUGUCAUUGAGCGAUUUACUGAUCAACUAUUGAUGAACUACUGAGAAACAUCUGGCAUAUUGCUAUGACCUUAAACAAAAAAAGGAAUUCUCAAGGCAUGCCUACAUACCACAUGUUGGAAGAGUUUGUGGAAUGGCUGAAGGAAGAAAGAAUUUCCAGCCAGAAAAAUAAAAUUCUUUAUGAAUUUGUGAAUGGAAAUGAAACCCAAGGAACUAAUAUAUUUGCUUACCAUCCAGUUGAAAGUAUGCCAAUGGAAUAAAGUGCAACUGUCAAAGAAGUGCACAAAAUAAGGUCAUGUUUUCUGCAAAAGUUCACCAAGCUGAUUCAAACUACAUAUGGGAGUCAAGAAAAAAGUAAAACUAACUGAACUGCCACAGUUCAGCUGUGAGAAAUGUUUGGUAAAAGUAUGUUUUGUUGUCAGAACAGCAGUGAAGUGGUUAGAGUAAAACUGUCUUCAUUGUUUAAGCAAUACAGAUUUUUUUUUAAAAAAACAUACUCCAUGCAUAAUAUAUCUUGAGUGCUCUUUUUUAUUUAAAUAAUCAUACAGUUUCAAGAAAUUUGACAAUAAAUGCUAUCUUUAAUUUUAUAAGAAAAUAGUGCAUUGUUGCCAUGGUAUUAAACAUUAAUCUGACAAUAAAUUAUUGUAAAACAUCUUUCAUGUUUAUAUGUUCUAUUUGUUAAAAUAAAUAAUGUAAGGUCAUAUUCUUUUCUAAGUAGUAACUGCAUCAACAAAACAUUAAGUUAUCUUUGAAUCUGCCUUAAGGAGGUAGGUUACCUUUAUAUUUGUAUGUGCGCAUGUCCAACCGGAAGCUAACGUGACGAUUUACGACGACGUUUACGACAAACUAAAUGUGUUUGUAUAUUCAUUCUUCUGAAAACAAAUCAUAGACCUGUCUUCGAUCUGACGCUUUAUGGUUUAAUAAUGCAGAAAUAAUGAAUAAAUUGCCGCAGAAAGGCUUCAAAACAAUGUUGCCUUAAAAUGACGUCAUUGACGUCAUGACAUUACGUGUCAGUUACCGCGCAAAAUUAAUAGCUUUUAUCUUGAAAGUACGUAAUUCUGUGCAUUUUCUUUAUUCAAACUAUUUUCAGAUAACCAUUAUUUGCUGAAAUAUUUUUUAUGAGUCUUUUGCUCUGAAUAAUAAUCAAUAUUUUGCUUCUUUUAUGUAGUUAUAUUGAAAUGUUAUGCGGAAUGUAAGAAAAUGGAUGAUGGUAACCAGUGUUAUUUGGAAUAUAGUUUGGUGAGAACCUACUUGUUACGGCCAUUUUCAAAUAAAAAAUCUAGCAGUUUGAUUUGUAAUACCUAUUUUACAGGUUCCGUUGAUAAUUUGUUACUUAUAUACUAAAACUAAGAUCUAAAAUUGUUCAAAUUUCAGUAGAAAAUUGUGGUUUCUUGAAUUGAAUUGAUGUUACCAUGGAAACGAAGCCCGUGACCUAUGUAUCUAAAUGUAAAAUUCAAAAGUGUUGACACUAGUCUAUUUAAGAAACACAGCUUCGGCUUUUUAUUUUCAUUUCAACAAUAUCCAUGAGAAUAAUAGUAGCAUGCUGAACGAUUUUUCCAUGAAAAAUGCCAGACGAGGGGUACUGCUGUAAGUAUUCUAAGCUUAGAAAUUUGUUUGAAUAAAUGCAGAUAACACGAAAAUAUAACUUACAUUAGAAAUAAUAUGUUUUAAAGCUACAUCAACUAGAAAGAUAAUCUUAUUCAAUAUUAUUUUAUAAGAAAUUACGACAAAAAGCAAGAUAUAAGCCAUUUUAAACAUCUCUGUUGCCAUGGUUACUUUAAACUUUAAGAAAAAUAGGGUACCAUGUAUAGUGCUUGGUAUUUUGCUAAUAAUAUUCACCCAAAUAUUCCAUGUUUGUCAUUAACAGAAUGGCACUGAAGCCGUCGAAAACCCCAAUUUUUAUACAUAGUUGUUUAAAAAUGAGAGAAAAUGCGUUACCAUGGAAACACGAGCCCCGCGACAUAUACAUUUUAAGAUUAUAUUAGAAAGCUAACGUUCAUACUAGUAAAAUUAUAGAUUAUGCUGACUUCUACAGAUAUCAAUGAAACUAAAAUACACUGAAAAGUGUUAAAUAUCCACAUUUUCCUUCUUCUUUCAAUAUGAAAUACCUUUGGAGGGUCAUGUUCUUCAAACCUGUAUAAAAAUUGAACUUGAAGGGACAGAGACAAACGAAACUGAGAUUUUAGCAGUUAAAACUUCAUAUUACACGAAAUACAAAAAGAUGCUGCGGUUCAACUAAUCUGAAUUUACCCUUGUAACAAGGUAACCUACCUCCUUAAACUAGCAAGAGUUGUGUCGUGUGUAUCAGAAAAUUAUGUAUAUCCCAAACAGUGUUACAUCAAUUUACAUGAAAUGAGGUUUUCUUACUUUUGAAUAUGAAAUUAGACAGCUUUCAAUGUAUAUAUUAUUUUGAAAAACACUUUAACAUAUUCAAUUAUUUCAAGAACUUGAUAGAAAUGGUACUUUUGGUAAGAAAAUACAUCAUGGUUGCUAUGGUAACGAGUCACUGAUCAGUGUGACAUCUGUACUACUACUUUAAGCAAAAUCAGUUUUAAUAUUUCUAACAAUUAUAUCUUUUUGCCUGAUUUUCUGUCUAACAGUUACAAAGAAAUAUGUCAAUGUGUCAAGUGUUCUAACAACAAGGUUAAUUUGUCAUAGUUUUGUCAUGUUAUCUAACCCGUAAUCCAGUAAAUCUAUUUUUGUACAAAAGAAAGCCAUAUUAAGAUUUUUGCAAAAAAAAAAUGUUAUCUUUAAACUCUGUCUGUACACUGAAAAAUGUUGACGGUAUAUUAACUUCACUUUCUUGAUGUAAAUUUUGGCUGGAUUUAUCAAGGAACUAUUCAAAUUGGAUUUAACAACUGUGUUGCCAUGGAAACGAUUUUAAGGGGAAAAUAAUAUGUGUUUAUAUAAAAAAAAUGAAACAGAAAUAAAUAAAUUUAAUUAACUGUAUGUUAUGUUUGAUAUUUCAUUAUGUAUUUUUUUUUUUCAUAUUAUUUUAAGAAGGAGUCUGAAUAAAGAUAUUCUGCCUCUAUUUUGAUACAGUUAGACGAAAAUAUGGUGUCCGAAAGGCGGUAAUUUCUCCAUAACAACAGCUGAUUUCUGUUGUCUAAUAGCAGAUUUUUACUUGGAACAUGACAAUCUGUCAGAUUACCUGAAAACUCCAUUUUCGACCAAAAUCGCAUUUGGGCCAAAAAUCUCAUGGC